CCGAGUACUAUAACUCAUAACCCUUUGUGAACCUUCAUACCUGUUGCUUCGGCGGCGCGCCUCCCGGGGCGUGCCCGCCGGCAUUAUCAGAAUCUCUGUUCGAACCCGACGAUACUUCUGAGUGUUCUAAGCGAACUGUUA
rnacentral:misc_RNA from 3 species